rnacentral:rRNA from 1 species
UACAGAGGGUGCGAGCGUUAAUCGGAAUUACUGGGCGUAAAGCGUGCGCAGGCGGUUUGUUAAGACAGAUGUGAAAUCCCCGGGCUUAACCUGGGAACUGCGUUUGUAACUGGCAAGCUAGAGUGUGGCAGAGGGGGGUGGAAUUCCAAGUGUAGCAGUGAAAUGCGUAGAUAUUUGGAGGAACACCAAUGGCGAAGGCAGCCCCCUGGGUUAACACUGACGCUCAUGCACGAAAGCGUGGGGAGCAAACAGG